CAUUCCGUUGCUAAAACCAGAACAACUUUAUGUCUUGUAUAUAAACUUACACUUCUAUAAAGUCUGUUAUGUUAAUCAUUUAUUAGUUCUAAAAGUUGAAAUCCUUACUCUGUAGCGAGUUUGGAUGAAUUUUGACUUGUAGGAAGCUCUUUCUUGAAAUGUUUAUUGCAGCCGUAGUAUCUACAUGAAGAAACAGACUUGGAUUUAUUAGAUCUAUUAAUAUUUUAUCAUAAAUAUUUUAAUUUCAUCAAACUGAUUAGGAAACUCACAACUGUGUCAAUUGUGGAAGGGAGGUAAGUGAAUCUUGAAUGCUCCCCCUGAAGUUGUUGUUUCUUAGGUCCCUAACAUAUACAAACCAAUAAUUAUUCUCUAAUGUUAUAACAUUUGAGUAACAGUAUCUAAAUUUGCUGUAUAUUUAUUUAUAAAGGAAAGAAGAAUACAUUGAGGUGAGAACUGAAGAAGAUGGGAAUACGGGAAUAGUGCCGGUGAAGAGAUUGUUGCUGACAUUCCUGUGGUUCACAAUUAAAUAGGAUGAUUGGAUCACUAUAAAGAUGCAGAGUAUAAUAAUACUUGUAACCAAUCGUAAAUUCUGCUAUCAAAAGAAACGAGAGAUAGUGCCUGUGCGUUGCGGCAGUGAGAUGGUGGGGGUGAUAGGUCAAGUCAUAGAGUAUGAUAGCCAAAUGCCUUAG